rnacentral:rRNA from 1 species
AUACGUAGGUGGCAAGCGUUAUCCGGAAUUACUGGGCGUAAAGCGUACGUAGGCGGUUCGGAAAGUCUGUCGUGAAAUCUCUCGGCUCAACCCUGAAAUGUCGGGGGAUACUGGCAAACUCGAGACUGUCAGAGGCAAGUGGAAUUCCCGGUGUAGUGGUGAAAUGCGUAGAUAUCGGGAGGAACACCAGUGGCGAAAGCGGCUUGCUGGGACAGUUCUGACGCUGAGGGACGAAAGCGUGGGUAGCAAACCGGAUUAGAAACCCCGGUAGUCC